GCCUCUGUAGCUCAGUGGAUAGAGCAUCGGUUUCCUAAACCGUGUGUCGCAGGUUCGAUCCCUGCCAGGGGCG
rnacentral:tRNA from 1 species